rnacentral:rRNA from 1 species
GCUGGCGGUCUGCUUACACAUGCAAGUCGAACGCAAGCUUCGGGUUGAGUGGCGGACGGGUGAGUAACGCGUGAGAAUCUGGCUUGGGGUCGGGGAGAACCACUGGAAACGGUGGCUAAUACCGGAUAAGCCUUUGGGUAAAAAAUUUAUUGCCCCAAGAGGAGCUCGCGUCUGAUUAGCUAGUUGGUGAGGUAAAAGCUCACCAUGGCAGCGAUCAGUAGCUGGUCUGAGAGGACGAUCAGCCACACUGGGACUGAGACACGGCCCAGACUCCUACGGGAUGCAGCAGUGGGGAAUUUUCCGCAAUGGGCGAAAGCCUGACGGAGCAAGACCGCGUGAGGGAGGAAGGCUCUUGGGUUGUAAACCUCUUUUCUCAGGGAAGAAGCUCUGACUGUACCUGAGGAAUCAGCCUCGGCUAACUCCGUGCCAGCAGCCGCGGUAAUACGGAGGAGGCAAGCGUUAUCCGGAAUUAUUGGGCGUAAAGCGUCCGCAGGUGGCGAUUCAAGUCUGCUGUCAAAGCACGGGGCUUAACUCCGUUAAGGCAGUGGAAACUGAAUAGCUAGAGUGCCGUAGGGGUAGAGGGAAUUCCCGGUGUAGCGGUGAAAUGCGUAGAGAUCGGGAAGAACAUCGGUGGCGAAAGCGCUCUACUGGACGGCAACUGACACUCAGGGACGAAAGCUAGGGGAGCGAAUGGGAUUAGAUACCCCAGUAGUCCUAGCUGUAAACGAUGGAUACUAGGUGUAGCUUGUAUCGACUCGAGCUGUGCCGAAGCUAACGCGUUAAGUAUCCCGNCUGGGGAGUACGCACGCAAGUG